rnacentral:rRNA from 1 species
UACGGAGGGUGCAAGCGUUGUCCGGAUUCACUGGGUUUAAAGGGUGCGUAGGCGGGUAAGUAAGUCCGUGGUGAAAUCUCUGAGCUUAACUCAGAAACUGCCGUGGAUACUAUUUGCCUUGAAUAUUGUGGAGGUGAGCGGAAUAUGUCAUGUAGCGGUGAAAUGCUUAGAUAUGACAUAGAACACCAAUUGCGAAGGCAGCUCACUACACAAUGAUUGACGCUGAGGCACGAAAGCGUGGGGAGCAAACAGG